rnacentral:rRNA from 1 species
AGCGAACGCUGGCGGCAGGCUUAACACAUGCAAGUCGAGCGGGCAUCCUUGUGGUGUCAGCGGCAGGCGGGUGAGUAACGCGUGGGAACGUGCCCUUCGGUUCGGAAUAACUCAGGGAAACUUGAGCUAAUACCGGAUACGUGCGAGAGCAGAAAGGUUUAUCUGCCGAAGGAUCGGCCCGCGUCUGAUUAGCUAGUUGGUGAGGUUACGGCUCACCAAGGCGACGAUCAGUAGCUGGUCUGAGAGGAUGAUCAGCCACACUGGGACUGAGACACGGCCCAGACUCCUACGGGAGGCAGCAGUGGGGAAUAUUGGACAAUGGGGGCAACCCUGAUCCAGCCAUGCCGCGUGAGUGAUGACGGCCUUAGGGUUGUAAAGCUCUUUUCUCCGGGACGAUAAUGACGGUACCGGAGGAAUAAGCCCCGGCUAACUUCGUG